GUCAAAUUGGCCGGAAGGCCUAACUGGAUCCACGCUUCCCAUUGCAAGAAGACACCUGCCCCAGAGGAAGCUAACUCUAUGCAACCAUGUGCCUCUGGUACAUUAUCUCCUUAGUUGGCCUCCUUAAAGCCCAGCAGGUGGCCAUCACCAAAGAUGCUAGUGGGUACACCUUCUGGUAUAAUUCAUCAUGUACCCGUGUGGCUACUUAUACUUUUGACUACUGUGACAUCGUAGAAUGCCCAUUCCCCACGUCACAGAUUCAGAAUAUCUAUAGAGAUAUCCC